GAUGAACGCUGGCGGCGUGCCUAAUACAUGCAAGUCGAGCGAACGGACGAGAAGCUUGUUUCUAUGAUGUUAGCGGCGGACGGGUGAGUAACACGUGGAUAACCUACCUUUAAGCCUGGGAUAACUUCGGGAAACCGGUGCUAAUACCGCAUGAUAUCUUGAACCACAUGGUUCAAGAGUGAAAGACGCUCUUGCUGUCACCUAUAGUGAGACCCCGGUUGCUUUGCUUAGUGGGUAGGGAAACGGCUUACAAAGGCAACGAUGCUUGCCGGACCGGGAAGGUUGAUCGCCCAAACGGGAACGGGGACACGGCCCAGAUCCCUACGGGAGGCAGCAGAAGGGAACCUUCCGCAAUGGGCGAAAGCCUGACGGAGCAACGCCGCGUGAGGGAUGAAGGUCUUCGGAUGGAAAAACUCGGUUAUUAGGGAGAAAGAUAGGUGUAAGUAACUGUGCACAACGUGACGGUAACUAAUCAGAAAGCCACGGCUAACUACGUG
rnacentral:rRNA from 1 species